GAUGAACGCUGGCGGCGUGCCUAAUACAUGCAAGUCGAGCGAACAGACGAGGAGCUUGCUCCUCUGACGUUAGCGGCGGACGGGUGAGUAACACGUGGAUAACCUACCUAUAAGACUGGGAUAACUUCGGGAAACCGGAGCUAAUACCGGAUAAUAUAUUGAACCGCGUGGUUCAAUAGUGAAAGACGGUUUUGCUGUCACUUAUAGAUGGAUCCGCGCCGCAUUAGCUAGUUGGUAAGGUAACGGCUUACCAAGGCAACGAUGCGUAGCCGACCUGAGAGGGUGAUCGGCCACACUGGAACUGAGACACGGUCCAGACUCCUACGGGAGGCAGCAGUAGGGAAUCUUCCGCAAUGGGCGAAAGCCUGACGGAGCGACGCCGCGUGAGUGAUGAAGGUCUUCGGAUCGUAAAACUCUGUUAUUAGGGAAGAACAAAUGUGUAAGUAACUAUGCACGUCUUGACGGUACCUAAUCAGAAAGCCACGGCUAACUACGUGCCAGCAGCCGCCGUAA
rnacentral:rRNA from 1 species